rnacentral:rRNA from 1 species
AUUGAACGCUGGCGGCGUGCUUAACACAUGCAAGUCGAACGAAGUGGCGAACGGGUGAGUAAUGCGUAAUCAACCUGCCCUUCAGGGGGGGACAACAGUUGGAAACGACUGCUAAUAACGCAUACUGAAGGAGGGGAUUGCGUCUGAUUAGCUGGUUGGAGGGGUAACGGCCCACCAAGGCGAUGAUCAGUAGCCGGUCUGGGAGGAUGAACGGCCACAUUGGGACUGAGACACGGCCCAGACUCCGACGGGAGGCAGCAGUGGGGAAUCUUCCGCAAUGGACGAAAGUCUGACGGAGCAACGCCGCGUGAGUGAUGACGGCCUUCGGGUUGUAAAGCUCUUUUAAUCGGGACGCGGUACCGGAAUAGAAAGCCACGGCUAACUACGUGCCAGCAGCCGCGGUAAUUC